rnacentral:rRNA from 1 species
CCUACGGGGGACAGCAGUGGGGAAUAUUGGACAAUGGGGGAAACCCUGAUCCAGCGACGCCGCGUGAGUGAAGAAGUAUUUCGGUACGUAAAGCUCUAUCAGCAGGAAAGAAAAUGACGGUACCUGACUAAGAAGCCCCGGCUACCUACUUGCCAGCAGCCGCGGUAAUACGUCGUGGUCAAGCGUUCUCCGGAUUUACUGGGUGGAAAGGGAGCGUAGACGGCAGCGCAAGUCUGGAGUGAAAUGCCGGGGCCCAACCCCGGAACUGCUCUGGAAACUGUGACGCUGGAGUGCAGGAGAGGUAAGCGGAAUGCCGGGUGUAGCGGUGAAAUGCGUAGAUAUCAGGAGGAACACCAGCGGCGAAGGCGGCUUACUGGACUGUAACUGACGUUGAGGCUCGAAGGCGUGGGGAGCAAACAGGAUUAGAUACCCCUGUAGUC